GACGAACGCUGGCGGCGUGCUUAACACAUGCAGGUCGAACGGAAAGGCCCUUCGGGGUACUCGAGUGGCGAACGGGUGAGUAACACGUGGGUGAUCUGCCCUGCACUUUGGGAUAAGCCCGGGAAACUGGGUCUAAUACCGAAUAGGACCACGCGCUUCAUGGUGUGUGGUGGAAAGCUGUUGCGGUGUGGGAUGGGCCCGCGGCCUAUCAGCUUGUUGGUGGGGUAAUGGCCUACCAAGGCGACGACGGGCAGCCGGCCUGAGAGGGUGACCGGCCACACUGGGACUGAGAUACGGCCCAGACUCCUACGGGAGGCAGCAGUGGGGAAUAUUGCACAAUGGGCGCAAGCCUGAUGCAGCGACGCCGCGUGAGGGAUGACGGCCUUCGGGUUGUAAACCUCUUUCGCCAGGGACGAAGCGCAAGUGACGGUACCUGGAGAAGAAGGACCGGCCAACUACGUGCCAGCCGCCGCGGUAA
rnacentral:rRNA from 1 species